ACAAGAUAAAGAAAGUUUAAACAAACAGUUCUAAAAGCAGUGCAUUCAGGUUUACAACUUGAAAAAAGCACUACAAAGCUGAAAACACUGUUUGUUUCUCCUCCCUAAUGCAUGAUUUAUUUUCUUCAUUUAUUUUCAGAUUACCAAUACGUUCCAUCGUUCAAUUCCAACUCGGAUCCCCAAAGCAAAGCCUGCAAGCACAACCAAAGCACCUGUCAAAAUUCCUGCUGGACAGCUCAACAAACCACUCCAAGACAGUCCUUCUGGAAAGAUACGCAUUGUAAGGACGGUGUCUAAAGCCUGCCUUCAAAGUGGAGGGAGAAGAGUGCAUUCCAACAGUCUAAAUGGCUCAACUGAUAAUACAUGGAAAAACUCCUUACACAUAGGUGUUUCUUUAAGAACUGCCAAAUCCUAAUUCCUAAAUACAGCAAAAGCUGGUGGUGAUCACAGUGCCACAGCCAGAACUGCAAUCCUUUUGCUGAAUCAAGGAGAGAUUCUGAUGCAUUUAGUUACCCAAUUUUUCCCCUUCAUUUCACAGCUAAAAGUUUAACUUAACCACUGAGACAGUACAACACACAGCACUGCUGUGUGACUGUUUUUGCAAACCCACAAGAAACCUAUGCCUUCCUCAACAGCUUCACAAGAAAUUCUCUAGAAAUACUUUUUUAAAAGUUUUAAAAUAUCAGUCUACUUAAAAAUUAUUUCAGCUGCAUCCUACAAGACACACCUGUGAUAAUAUGCAGACAUUAAAGAAUGACUUUGCCACAAGAAAAAUGAAAGGAUUCCCAUUUCAUUCAGCUGUCAAGUUCUGAGAGUCUGUAUCGUGUGUGCUCAGAUCCCAACACAGCUCACAGAAGUACACCAUUGCAACCUGCAGAAUGAAUGCACAUUGAUGUGAAGAAACAGAGAUUUCAAAAAGCAGCUGUCAACUUGGCAUGAUUAUCAGAAAGAUGUUCAAGUACUGACCAAGUUCUAUUACAAGGAACAGCAAGUCAUUGACGAGCCAAAAAAAAAAGAGUCCAGCAACAGACCUCAGCUCUGAUCAAACAGUGCUCCCACUGAAUGCACUACAACGAGGAGUCUGCUUCUCAACAGCUACAAAUCACACAUUACAAAUUUAUAUUAACUGGCACCCUUCACUACAAAGAAAGAAAAGAGAACCCCUGGCAAAAGAAUUCCUGCAAUAGCAUCCUUUGCUUUAGAGCCCAUACAGGACCCCACAAACACUGCCAAAUCAUCAUCUAUGGUCCCAUAUUAUAUUUCUCACCUAUUUUUGCUGCUGAGAUACAAGAGUUUUGCUCCUCUCUUGCAAUGACACAAUUAAUUUUUACCUAUGAGAGUCAGGCCCCUCAUAGGUAGAUCCUACUUAAGGAUCUAAAACUGACAAAUGGGGAUACUACACUCCUAUGGAUUAAGGGCAAUACAGAAAGCAUGGAGAAUGAAAGACAAGGAGAGGUAACCAAAAAGGAGGAAACUGGAAGAAUUUCUGAAAAACAGAAGUCCAGCCCUCUCCCUCAAACUGACUGGGAGAUGAGGCACGCUGGCUACAGGCAAGAUCUGGAUAUUUAUAGUGCUGCGAGAAUUGCUCUUUGCUGUUCACAGAGGGAAGAGGAGAAAGUUGGGGUCCUUCACAAGUACGAAAUAAACUCCUCCGAAUUCCUUAUCCUUUCCCUUGUAAUUCUGAAUGCAAUAUAAAAAUCACAUGAAAGUCUGGACAAAGUUGUGACACAAACUGGAAAAAAGGAAGGUAAGGAAGUCCUGCAUGACGUGAGACAUAUGUAACACUAAACUACGCUGCUAAGGGGAGAAUAAUCCCUAACAGCUCCUUCCUCAAAUCUCAUCUCAAAGGUUUGCUGAAGAUGUUAUUAGGCAAGACUCUUUAGUUUUUGUCAUGUGACAAGAUACAAAGAUGGGUAAUCCCUUUAGCAUUUUUUUGCCUCAGGUUUUGUAGGCUUUUUUUACACCUAUAAAUCAUUUGCAGUAGGGUAAAUAUUCACAUCUUAAGGUGAGAGUAAUUACCUUUAAUUUUUAAUAUGGACUCUAAAAUGAUGACUUCCAAUGACAUGGCCAAAAGCAAAUUUAGAAUUACAUAUCCAUACAUAAGGAUAUAUAUUUAUAUCUACUUUGUGUAUUCAUACUCUUUAGGUGGAGUGUAUGAAUGAUGUUCUAAUUACAAUUGGCUAAAAUCUAAAACACUUUUGAGAGCUGAAUUCUGAUGAAUAUGCUGUAGGUCACAGCUUAUUCUAAGGUUAAUUUUAAAGGAUCUAGCAAAAGAUCAUUAUUUCAAAAGUACAUUUGAAUUCUGCUUUGUACCUGCAGUUAUGGCAGAGAUGUUAUUUUUAAAUAGGUCAGCAAAUGAGGUUGGAUAAUAUUUUUCUAACAAAACUUCAUUUUUCACAGAAAUGAAAUUGACCAAGUCUUGCAAAGGUGCUCACUAAUGUGCAAUUAUUUUCUUGUAUUGCUGCCUACAUCAUACAUUGUGAGCCAUGAUUUCCUCUUUUAUGCCAACUGAUUUUAAAGCAUUUUACAGUAUCAAUAAGAUGCCAUACAAAUUAACCCUACAUUUUACCUGUUUUACCUGAAAAAUAGCUACACAAAAUAAAAGUAACAGAUGUUUUAUGUUUA